AUAAUUUGUUCAACUUUCCCUUUAAUCUAUAGAUACCCACCUUGUUUCUACUUUUUUAUUACUACAAAACAGAGAUGAUGAAUAUUUUUCACAUAUAACUUUUCCCUUUUUCUUUGAUUUCUUGGGAGGUGGUAUAAAGAAGUGAAUAUACCUAAUGUGUACAGUUUAAUGACUUUUCUAGUAUAAUACCAAAUUAUUUUCUAAAAUGGUUGAAUUUCCAGCUCCACCAUGUUCCCCAAAUCUGAUGGGUAGAAGUAAAAACAUUGGUUAUCUUUAUUUGCAUCUAGUUUAUUAUUGGGUAAUUCAGAUAAUUAUUUCACAUGGUUUUGACAAUUUAAAAUUACUCUCUUGAAACUUUCUGCCUAUGUCAUUUGAACAUCUAUUGGGGAAUGACUCAUCACAUAUUUGUAUCAACAUCUUAUAUUUCUUAGUCCUUAGAUUCUUAUCACAGAUCUCAGCAGCUAGUUCUCUCUCUUCAACUAUUAUCAGCAUUAGCAAGGUGACAGUGUAUCUUCUCUACCAAGAAAAAACUGCAUUUUCUCCAAAGCCCAGGUCUCCCACUGCAUCCAGAAUCAUAGACAGCUUUGGUUUUCUUAAUUUCUCCAGAUAUCAUGAAAGUACUAGGCAGGAUUCUGGCUAUCUGAUCUGUGCAUUGUCACUGUAUUCGGGAGAAGAGACCGAGGUUGACGACUUUGCACAGCUCUGCCUCACUUAAAUCCAAUUCACUUAUAAGUCAAGACACCACCCACCUGAAGUCAUUGAUCCUUUUUGAGAAUGAAGGCCGAACAACUACCCCUUGUAAAGAGCACAGCUCAUCAUCGGGAUGAAUCAAAAUCAGUG
rnacentral:lncRNA from 1 species